GGAUCGCCCUUCCUACGGGAGGCAGCAGUGGGGAAUAUUGGACAAUGGGCGAAAGCCUGAUCCAGCAAUGCCGCGUGAGUGAUGAAGGCCUUAGGGUUGUAAAGCUCUUUUACCAGGGAUGAUAAUGACAGUGCCUGGAGAAUAAGCUCCGGCUAACUCCGUGCCAGCAGCCGCGGUAAUAAGGGCGAUCCC
rnacentral:rRNA from 1 species